rnacentral:lncRNA from 1 species
GUUGGAGGGGAGAUAAGGCUAAAAAGGGGGAUCUGAAGUCUAGAAUUGUCCUGUGGGUAAAGAAAAGUUCCUGCAGGAGGGACAUGGGGCAGGGGGGCUUCAUCAGGAAGUGCUGAGGGACAGGAAAUCAGACAGAGAUGGCAGCUGGGCAUCCAGAUGUCUGGCCCCAAGGCUCAGACAAGGGCAGCUAGAAUCCAGCAUCCGUCUGCAUGGAUUGCAUGCCAUCCUUGAAUCCACUCACUUGCCCAGCCCCUGAACCAACUGAUGAAUGUGGUGAAGUCUUCCCUUCGUCACCCCAGGUGCAGCCACAGCCUCUGCAGCCACCCUGGGGGAGAGACAGCUCCAGAUUCCCGCAAGGAGCAAAGAGAUUUUUGACUUUGUCUUCUUUUAUUGACAUUGAGGAGAAGCUUCUGACUCAGGCGAGCCUCACAAUAAGCUGUUUUUCAACUUCAGUAGACCCGCAGGACCUGCUAAGGUGAGGUGUUCUGGAAGGGUCUCUGCUCCUAGCAGUCACUGGCAGCUUGCCCAAAUUGGAGAAGUUUAACAUCUCUUUUCUCUGAGAAGUAAAAUGUGUUUCUUUGGUGGAUGUGAAACCAACAAACCACUGUGGUGCCUCUCUACAUCUGAAGGAUGAGCCAGCCAAGCCAGGGGAACUGACGACCCCACACACGUCUGCACUGCUGUGGCCGUGUUGAACACGGACUCCUUCUUCAGGGCAGCCUUGGGCCAUCGGAGGGCUGCUGUAUGCAGUGACGGCCACCAAGUGUCCUUGGCCAGGGGAGUGAUUUACAGGGACUGAGAUCCUGACUUGUGACCCAGACACGAAUGCAUCCUUGUUCCAUUUUGUUAUUGCUCAACCGUCAUCUGGCCAUCCCCAAAGCCCACCUCUGUGAGAAAGGCCAGUGCUUGUCCUCGUGACACCCCUGAGACCUCGAUGGAGCAAGUCCCAGGAAUUACUGUGAAGUCCAAAUGGGCCCCAAAGCUGCCUGCCCCUAAGAAGGCCUUCUUAUAUUUACCCAGAGGGCCCAUCAUACAUUUUUAAAGAAAAUCUUCUUUUGGUGAGAAGAUCAAAGGGCCAGGCAGAAAUGGAAAAGCACUUUCUGGCAUCAGACUUCCUCUGACUUCUCCGGUUGCCACACCACUGAAAGACUGCCCCACAGUGCGAGGGACGUCCACAUCUGCCUGGCUCUCCGAGGGAUGAACAGCCUUCAGUUCAGCUUCCUGUCACACCCCAAAAUCCACCAGGGCUCUGCAGUCAUAGAGCCCUGGAACCCAGAGGUGGAAACUUAAAGGAAUGAGUGCUCUCUCGCUCCAAAACCACAGAUAUCUGGUCCAUAGAGAACCCACCACACUUGUAUACAUUUUCAUACGUCUGCGCACAUACACAAAUGCACAAACACAUGUUCAGCUGUUGAUAAUCAUCUGAUCUUUUGCUCUUUCGAUGUAAAUAUGGCCAGAUAUCUCUGGCUUUAAUUCUCAUUAAAAUUUUGAAAGUUAUACUUUCUAUACAAUAUACAUCAUGGAUGUCCAAUCUUUUGGCUUCCCUGUGCCAGAUUGAAAGAAGAAGAAUUGUCUUGGGGCCUGGCGUGAUGGCUCAUGCCUAUUAAUUCCAACACUUUGGGAGGCGGAGGUGGGAGGAUCACCUGAGAUCAGGAGUUCACGACUAGCCUGGCCAACAUGGUGAAACCCCCCCAUCUCUACUAAAAAUAUAAAAAUUAGCGAAGCAUGGUGGCACAUGCCUGUAAUCCCAGCUAUGCAGGAGGCUGAGGCAGGGGAAUCACUUGAUCCCAGGAAGCAGAGGUUGCAGUGAGCCAAGAUUGCACCAUUGCAUUCCAGCCUGGGCAACAGAGUGAGACCCAGUCUCAAGAAAAAAAAAAAAGAAUUAUCUUGGGCCACACAUACACACAUAAAAUACACUAACACUAAUGAUAGCUAAUGAGCUAAAAAAAAUUUCAAGAAUAUCAUAAUGUUUUAAGAGUUUAUGAAUUUGUGUUGGGCCACAUUCAAAGUCAUUGUGGGCUGCAUGUGGCCCGAGGGCCGCAGGUUGGACAAGCUUGAUAUACAUAUUAUGUAUAUUAUAUAUUUCUGUGAAAACAGAAUAAAUCCAAGACUGAGGAUCUAAUUCCAAAAUUCAUUUUUGUAGGCAUUCUGAGACUUAACUAUUUUUCUAGUCACAUAAUAAGGAAAGGAUCCUUACAGAAAUACUGAAAGCUCUUGGUUCUGCCUUUGCUG